rnacentral:rRNA from 1 species
AGUGAACGCUGGCGGUAGGCCUAACACAUGCAAGUCGAACGGCAGCACAGUAAGAGCUUGCUCUUACGGGUGGCGAGUGGCGGACGGGUGAGGAAUACAUCGGAAUCUACUUUUUCGUGGGGGAUAACGUAGGGAAACUUACGCUAAUACCGCAUACGACCUACGGGUGAAAGCAGGGGAUCUUCGGACCUUGCGCGAUUGAAUGAGACGAUGUCGGAUUAGCUAGUUGGCGGGGUAAAGGCCAACCAAGGCGACGAUCCGUAGCUGGUCUGAGAGGAUGAUCAGCCACACUGGAACUGAGACACGGUCCAGACUCCUACGGGAGGCAGCAGUGGGGAAUAUUGGACAAUGGGCCCAAUCCUGUUCCAGCCAUACCGCGUGGGUGAAGAAGGCCUUCGGGUUGUAAAGCCCUUUUGUUGGGAAAGAAAAGCAGCAGGUUAAUACCCCGCUGUUCUGACGGUACCCAAAGAAUAAGCACCGGCUAACUUCGUG